rnacentral:rRNA from 1 species
UACAGAGGGUGCGAGCGUUAAUCGGAAUUACUGGGCGUAAAGCGUGCGUAGACGGUUAUUUAAGUCGGGUGUGAAAGCCCCGGGCUCAACCUGGGAAUUGCAUUCGAGACUGAAUAGCUAGGGUACGGUAGAGGGAAGUGGAAUUUCCGGUGUAGCGGUGAAAUGCGUAGAUAUCGGAAGGAACAUCAGUGGCGAAGGCGGAUCUCUGGGCCGAUACUGACGCUGAGGAGCGAAAGCGUGGGGAGCGAACAGG